rnacentral:rRNA from 1 species
GACGAAGGGGGCUAGCGUUGUUCGGAAUUACUGGGCGUAAAGCGAGUGUAGGUGGUUGUCCAAGUUGGAUGUGAAAGCCUUGAGCUCAACUCAAGAAAUGCAUUCAGGACUGGGCGGCUAGAGGACCGGAGAGGAUAGUGGAAUUCCCAGUGUAGUGGUGAAAUACGUAGAGAUUGGGAAGAACACCAGUGGCGAAGGCGGCAUCCUGGACUGGUCCUGACACUCAGGAGCGAAAGCGUGGGGAGCGAUCCGG